rnacentral:misc_RNA from 1 species
AAGUCGUAACAAGGUUUCCGUAGGUGAACCUGCGGAAGGAUCAUUAGAAAGUCCGACGCCGAAAGGCGUCCCACCUUCAACCACUGUGAAACCACCCGUUGCUUCGGCGGCGUUGGGAGCCCUUACCGGUGACCUCGUCAGUCCGCCCGAGGCUCCGCAACCAAAACUUUUCCGUAACCGUAGUCUGAUAACUAAAGAUUUAAUUCGUUAAAACUUUCAACAACGGAUCUCUUGGUUCUC